rnacentral:rRNA from 1 species
GACGAACGCUGGCGGCGUGCUUAACACAUGCAAGUCGAACGGGAACCUUUAUUUCGGUAAAGGUGAGAGUGGCAAACGGGUGAGUAACACGUAGGCAACCUGCCGACAGGAUGGGGACAACAUUCCGAAAGGAAUGCUAAUACCGAAUGAAGUCACCGGAGGGCAUCCUCUGGUGAUGAAAGAUGGCCUCUGAAUAUGCUAUCACCUGUCGAUGGGCCUGCGUCUGAUUAGCCAGUUGGCGGGGUAACGGCCCACCAAAGCGACGAUCAGUAGCCGGUCUGAGAGGAUGAACGGCCACAUUGGGACUGAGACACGGCCCAGACUCCUACGGGAGGCAGCAGUGGGGAAUCUUCCACAAUGGGCGAAAGCCUGAUGGAGCAACGCCGCGUGAGUGAAGAAGGUCUUCGGAUCGUAAAGCUCUGUUGCACGGGACGAAAACCGGGUUUGAGAAUAUUGAGCCCGGGGACG